GUCAAAAUGCAACUGCAACUAGAGGUAAAGCUUGAGGGUUUACGUUUUCCAGAUUUCCACAGUGUUAAAAAGUGUUCUGGAACUCCUGUGUAGAUUCAUUUCUCCCCUGGCUUUGGGAAGUGCGAUUACUGAACUAAAAAGUCACCGCAUCUUUCUCUGGCAACCGGAGGGUAUAAAUACUGAGCUGGGGGAGAGGCAUUUAAUCGGUUCAAUGUGUUCAUCACUUUAAAAAGUAUGAUCAGUUUCUGUUCAUUAUUGGAAUGUGGGGACUAAAGCGCUGCUGUGAGCCGGCUCACCUUUUCAUGUGGCAAACAAGAAACGGACACGAAGACGAGGCGAAACGGCUCGUCUCCACGCCCAGGGCUCGGCCCCAGACUCUCAGCUCGUGUCCGCGGCGUUCCUCUGCCGAUGUAGGUGUUCUCCUCGUGGGGGCCUUCGGGGAGCCAUCGGCUCAGGAAAAGCCCAUCUCAGAUGGGUUACGAAGCAUCUUGGACUGCGUGCAUCAGAAUGUCAGUGAGCUGAAGGAGAGAACCGAAGAAAUUAUCCAGAAGACCCUCCCGAGACAAAGACAUGGAAGGAUGAAAGACAUGCUGUGAGGCUUGGAAAGGGCCCAACAGGACAGGGAAGAGACAAUAGUUAAAGCAAUACAGACCAAGAAUGUUCUAGAAUUGUUGAGAGGUUCACGAAGCACAGUGAACCCCAUGCCGGGCACUGCUGCAAAGGCUUUAUGGACUAACACACUGACUUGACCCAGCAACGCUGUGGGGAAGGUGUAGUUAGCGUCACCAUUUCACAGAGGAGGCCACUCAAGGCUCAGAGAGGUUAAGCAACUUGCCCAAUGCCACACAGCUAGCAAGGAGCAGAGGUCGGCUCCCAGAGUCUCUUACCACAAUCCUCUAUUCACUCUUGAAAAAUCUGUACUGUUUUAAAAAAAAUAACAAAGGCAAUGCUUUACGAAAUAUACUGAACAUUUUAAUUUAUGUCUAUUUACUGUCAAACUUUCUCUAGGUCAAUAUGACUAAAACUUAAAACCUUCUCUAGACCUAAAUAGGACUCCUUCCCAAAGAUUAAAUUCACACUCCUGGGAAAUACGGCAAGACUGGUGUACAUUUUCAUAAAUCCCUCCCAGAAACAAACGCCCCCCCCCCAAAUAAUAAAAAGCCAAAAAUUGGAGAAUUUGUUCACAGAGAAAUUGAGAAGCAGCUGUGGCUGCGUCCUGCUUGGUUUCUUUUUCUUUUCUUUUCUUUUGGCUGCACCUGUUGCACAGGAAGGUUCCCAGGCCAGGGAAUGAACCCAAGACCCAGAUCCUUAACCUGCUGCGCCACCAGGGAACUCCAAAGUACUGCCUGUUUCCACCCGCUAAUUAGAGAGCCCACGGAGGCAGGUCCCACUUGCACCUUUGUUCUCAGUGACCACACGGAGAUGCCACCUUCCGUGGCCCAGGAGGGUCCGUGGUCAGGAGACCACGUGCCCCAAAUACCAGGGACAGAAGCACAGGACGGCCUCCUUCCCUCCCAGUUCCUCUCCAGCCCGAGCUGCCACGCAACAGCGAGGGGCCAGGCCUCCUAGUCCGACUCCCUUACCAAGAAGCUGUGCAACCCCAGUCAAGUCACUCUGCCUCUCUGGACACCAGUGUCCUCACCUGUCAGUGAGAGGCCUGAUUUGCACCAGCAGUUUUCAGACCUUCCCCAGACCCGGGUCUUUUUCUCCUCACAAAACCUGAGCCAGAAGCUGCACAGAUGCCAAGAGAAAGCAAAGCCACGGGGGCGGGAGCUGAAUCAGAGUCAGAGCAGGGCAGGCCCUGCCCACCCGGCCCGGGCUUCCCAUCCUGACCCAGAGACUGGGCACGAAAACCCUUCGGACUCCGCCGAGCAGUUUGGAAACCACCAGCAUCUGUGAUUUCUGACAUCCUUUCCCGCUGGAAUAGCUGAUGGUUAUCUCGGAAGCCGGACAAUGAGUUCUGCUCUCUGCUCUAUUCUUUGGAAAAGAACUGAACGGAGGAGUGGGCGGGAGGAGACGAGGAGAGGAGAGGGGGAGGGGAGGGGGAGAGGAGAGGAGAGGGGAGGGGAAGGGAAGGGGAGGGGAGGAGGGAGAGGAGAGGGGAGGGGAGGGGAAGAGAAAGCAAACUGAACUUUCAAAAAGAGCUGCAAGUUACGACUGCCUCUGCUUAGUGAAUAAUUAACAUGCGCUAACUAAAUAAGACAUUUAUUAACAAGAAUUAUGUAGCCACAUCCCCUUUACGCCCCAUCCUAUUAAAACGUCUCGCGAAGAAGGAGCCCUGGGCGGCCACGGGUCUCACCUGGGGAGCAGGCGCAGGGGAAGCCAAGAAGCCCAUCCUGGCAGGUUGCUGGUGACAGCUCUGGCUUAAAGCAGACACGCGUGUCAGCAUCUCAUUGCUCCACCUGAAAAUUUAUGGCCACCCUCCGAGUACGUGAAUCUGAGGAACACCAGCAAUCUGGAAACAUGGAACGGGAACAAAAAGCCUCUUUUGUCUCGAGGGCAACAAAAUAAAAAGCGUUUCUUUUUUCGGGCCAUAAGAAAAGAAUUACUCCCUCUAAGCGCCCAAGCUGACAUUUUCACGAGAAAACAAAUUGGGAUGAUUUCAUUUACGGCUUGCAAAUGCUGAAUGACCUGGAGAGGGAACGAGAGCGCAUCUCCCCCGACGGCUCCCCCCUUCCUGGCCGCAGCUGUGACCUCACCCUCGCCUUUUUCUCUUCCCUAUAUAUCCCUCGGGUGCCUGUGGCCUUCUGUUUAUUUAUUUGGGGGUAAUUUGGAGAGCCAGUAUUGUGUCUACCUGCCAUGUGCUCUUUCUCAACGUCAGCAGCAAAGUAAUUCUUCCACUGAAACUGCCCGGGACUCGUAGGACGACAGCGCGCCGAGUCGGUGUUGCGGAAAAGGGCUCGCGGCUUCCGUCUGGGAGGAGCUGUCCCCUCCCGCGAACCCUGGGGCCCCUCACCACCUGUUCCGCUCCCCUGGUCCUGCUCUCGGACCCUGCAUCCGAUCCGAGAUCUCACCGAUCAGAGAGGCUCCACGCUCUCCUCUAACUUUCGUCCACUACGACCAAUGCAAUUGUUUUGCUUGUACUAAAUUAUAGCUAAUUGGCAAUGGUGUGCCAAUUUCUGCUGAACUGCAAAGAGACCCAGUCGUACCUAUACCCACCAAAGGAAUUUUGACACCGCGCUUUCUUCGCAUUCAGAACGGUUAUGUUACAUUGGCCUUCAGGUGUUCUUCGCGGCUGGGUUUGAAGUAGGGCUGGAGUGUUUAUACCCUUGGGCCUGCAUCGCAGGGAAAAGACGUGCUGCCGGAGCGGAUCACGGUGUUUCUCUAACCUCUCCUCCUCCAGGCACCUGCUCUUCCGCGGCCCUUUUCCGCUCCGACUCAUCCGCGGCGGUGCCCUGCGCAGUGUUUCAUUCCCCGCGCCCUCCAGCGCGCUCAUGACCCCGGCUUCUUCUCUUUUUUUCCUUUUUAGGGCCACAACCGCUGGGUCCUCUGCUGCCCCCAAGGUUUUCCUCCGGUCACAGACAUGCAUUGGGCAAUGCUGGAUGUUGGCUCUUGCUUGGUCUACCCAGGGGUGUCCCUGCAAGUUUUCGGGCGAAAAUGGCACCUUCCAUUCUUUUUUCAGAAUGGUUCUUAGUGUCCAGUUACACCAUCCUCAACACCAGCGGAGUUCUCACGGGCACAGGCCGUGACACGACCUCACGACUGCCACUGGGCCGGCAGCGAGGGUGGGAAGACUCGGGCCAGAUCCAGAAAGGCGAGUGUGUGUCUUAAGCCUGAGAGACACCUGGGUGGACGCCGUGCCCUCCGAAUGUCCUCUCUCUGCCGGUCACUUAGCUCCCCUCGCUCUUCUAACCCCAGUGGACUUGCCCCGCUCCAGAGCCUGCCGCCCAGUCUGCGAUGACACGUGCACAGGGGUGGUGACAAUAUGCCGGGCGCUGAAAAAAAAGAAUGUGUGAUUCCUGAUGGGAUCUGCGUGCAAAGGUGCAGUCCGGGGGGAUCCGUGUGGGGAAUGACCAUGACUGCCAGUCAUUUCUGCAAGCAAUGCAAUUUUUUUUUUGAAAUUUCAGAAAAUAUGGUUACUUUCAGAGCUUUAGAAUUAUUUCCUAUAGCUUUUUGAUGUCUCUGUUGCUCUUUCUAAAUUCACGUGGGGUAUGGCUGAUUUACAAGGUUGGGUGAGUUUCCGCUGUACAGCAAAGUGAUUGAGUCAUACAUAUAUUUUACAGUCUUUUUCAUAUUCGUUUCCACUAUGGUUUAUCGCAGGCUGUUGACUGUAGUUCCCUGGGCUCUACGGUAGGACCCUGUCGUUUAUCCAUCCUGCAUAUAUACUCGUUUGCAUCGGCUCAUCCCAAACUCCCGAACCUUCUGCCCCCCCACCCCUCCCC
rnacentral:lncRNA from 9 species